rnacentral:rRNA from 1 species
GACGAACGCUGGCGGCGUGCUUAACACAUGCAAGUCGAACGAAGUGGCGUACGGGUGAGUAAUACGUGGGUAACCUGCCCUCCUUUUUGGGAUAAGCCUUGGAAACGGGGUCUAUUACCGAACCAAGGGGGAUGGGCUCGCGGCCUAUCAGCGUGUUGGUGGGGUGAUGGCCUACCAAGGCGGUGACGGGUAGCCGGGCUGAGAGGGUAACCGGAGACAGAGGGACGGAGAAGCGGCCCAGGCUACUACGGGGGGGAGCAGUGGGGGAUAUGGCAGAAUGGGCGAAAGCGUGAUGCAGCGACGCCGCGUGAGGGAUGAGGGCUUUCGGGUUGUAAACCUCUAGCAGUAACGAAAGGGUAGGUGGAGAAGAAGCGCCGGCUAACUACGUGCCAGCAGCCGCGGUAAUAC